rnacentral:rRNA from 1 species
UACGGAGGGUGCGAGCGUUGUCCGGAAUCAUUGGGCGUAAAGGGCGCGUAGGUGGCCCGGUCAGUUCGUGGUGAAAGCGCGGGGCUCAACCCUGCGUCGGCCAUGAAUACUGCCGCGGCUGGAGCACUGUAGAGGCAGGCGGAAUUCCGGGUGUAGCGAUGGAAUGCGUAGAGAUCCGGAAGAACACCGGUGGCGAAGGCGGCCUGCUGGGCAGUUGCUGACACUGAGGCGCGACAGCGUGGGGAGCAAACAGG